GUCAUCCUCAGUUCGGACUGGGGUCUGCAACCGACCCACGAAACUGGAUUCGCUAGUAAUCGCGCAUCAGCCAUGGCGCGGUGAAUACGUUCCCGGGCCUUGUACACACCGCCCGUCAAGCCAUGAAAGCCGGGGGGCGCCUGAAGUCCGCGACCGCGAGGGUCGGCCUAGGGUGAAACCGGUGAUUGGGGCUAAGUCGUAACAAGGUACC
rnacentral:rRNA from 1 species